UACGUAGGGGGCAAGCGUUGUCCGGAUUUAUUGGGCGUAAAGAGCGUGUAGGCGGUUUGGUAGGUCCGCUGUGAAAACUCGAGGCUCAACCUCGAGACGCCGGUGGAAACCAUCAGGCUAGAGUCCGGAAGAGGAGAGUGGAAUUCCACGUGUAGCAGUGAAAUGCGUAGAGAUGUGGAGGAACACCGAUGGCGAAGGCAGCCCCCUGGGCUAACACUGACGCUCAGGCACGAAAGCGUGGGGAGCAAACAGG
rnacentral:rRNA from 1 species